UCAUUCUAGACUAAUAGAAUAUUUAAAAGAAAAAAUAUAUAGAUAUUUUGUUAAAAAUUUUAAAUAGAUAAUAGUGUUUAUUAGAUAAGAAAAGGUUUUGUCAAGAUCUUGAUCAUUCAUUUGGUAUGACACCAACUAUAAAAUAAUUUUAUCUUCAUUCCACUCACAAGAUUUAUAUUAAAUGUACAUAACAAAAAAUAGUAAAAAGAGAUGAAGUUUUAUUUAUGUCAUCUAAAUCUAUAUCUAUAUAAUAUAUGAAAGCAUAAUUGCAACGGGUUGGCCACGGGGACCUCUGACGCCCCACACCAUUGCGACGGGCGGGGUCUUCCUAGGCCUCUAAAGCUGCCAUUUACGACUCUCUUUUCCACUCCUAUUUAGGAAGGUCCAAGUCAUUUCCGACUAGAUUUGACAAGGGGUUUAUCUAAAAGAUGGAGAGACGAUGGAACCUUCUCCUACUACAUUUCACACUUUACCUACGAUGGACCACUAGACGACAACAAAGACUAGACGGAUUGUUAUGUAGCUAAGCCUGAGAUUGUGAAGGAACUGUAUUGUAUUUGUAAAAGCCUCCAAUCUAUGGUGCCAGACUAGGGGGCUCACAAGACUUAUACAAGUCUUUUACAGAUUUCUUGAGCAUAAAGGAAAGGGUCUACCUCCCCGGUGGUGGAGCUUUACCUGUUUGAGAUUAUUCAACUAGAGGAAUUGGGACUAUGUGAAGUCACAGGUGACCUUGAAAAGGUCACUGCCAACAUCACAGCGCUUACUGCGAGUGUGGGAACCUUGAACGUGCAGUCGUCCACCUCAUAAGCGUUUGAAUUGUUUGCUUGAUAGGCUAACAACAUUUUUCUGGCCUUCCGAUGAUAGGAUUUGAUUAUUUCUUUUAUUCUACUGAAUGAAUGAAUGAUUUUCAAAUUUAUCUCUACUUUCCUUUUCUAU